GCUUUUGUUUUGGUGGAUUAGUGGCGAACGGGUGAGUAAUACGUGAGUAACCUGCCCUUGUCUUUGGGAUAAGCCUGGGAAACUGGGUCUAAUACCGGAUAUUCUGCUUCUGCCGCAUGGUGGGGGUUGGAAAGAUUUUUUGGAUGGGGAUGGGCUCACGGCCUAUCAGCUUGUUGGUGGGGUGAUGGCCUACCAAGGCGUCGACGGGUAGCCGGCCUGAGAGGGUGACCGGCCACAUUGGGACUGAGAUACGGCCCAGACUCCUACGGGAGGCAGCAGUGGGGAAUAUUGCACAAUGGACGCAAGUCUGAUGCAGCGACGCCGCGUGGGGGAUGAAGGCUUUCGGGUUGUAAACUCCUUUCAGUACAGAACAAGGCCUUUGUGGUUGAGGGUAUGUGCAGAAGAAGCGCCGGCUAACUACGUGCCAGCAGCCGCGGUAAUACGUAGGGCGCGAGCGUUGUCCGGAAUUAUUGGGCGUAAAGAGCUCGUAGGCGGUUUGUUGCGCCUGCUGUGAAAGACCGGGGCUUAACUUCGGGGUUGCAGUGGGUACGGGCAGACUAGAGUGUGGUAGGGGUAAUUGGAAUUCCUGGUGUAGCGGUGGAAUGCGCAGAUAUCAGGAGGAACACCGAUGGCGAAGGCAGGUUACUGGGCCAUUACUGACGCUGAGGAGCGAAAGCGUGGGUAGCGAACAGGAUUAGAUACCCUGGUAGUCCACGCCGUAAACGUUGGGCACUAGGUGUGGGGCCUUUUCCAUGGGUUCUGCGCCGUAGCUAACGCAUUAAGUGCCCCGCCUGGGGAGUACGGCCGCAAGGCUAAAACUCAAAGGAAUUGACGGGGGCCCGCACAAGCGGCGGAGCAUGCGGAUUAAUUCGAUGCAACGCGAAGAAUCUUACCAAGGCUUGACAUACACUGCGAUGUGCCAGAGAUGGU
rnacentral:rRNA from 1 species